rnacentral:rRNA from 1 species
UACGUAGGUGGCGAGCGUUGUCCGGAUUUACUGGGCGUAAAGGGCGCGUAGGCGGCCUGCUAAGUCGAACGUGAAAUCCCCGGGCUCAACCCGGGAACUGCGUCCGAUACUGGCAGGCUUGAAUCCGGGAGAGGGAUGCGGAAUUCCAGGUGUAGCGGUGAAAUGCGUAGAUAUCUGGAGGAACACCGGUGGCGAAGGCGGCAUCCUGGACCGGCAUUGACGCUGAGGCGCGAAAGCCAGGGGAGCAAACGGG